rnacentral:lncRNA from 1 species
GUGUGUCUGAGGUUUCCAGGGACAUGAAGAUGUUGGUUCAGUUCUAGCGCUUGCUGUGUAAUGCGGAAACAAAGCAUUAAGAGAUGCCUGAUGGAUGAGCGUUGUCUCCCCCACCCCGUUAGAUUAGCAGUAACUACAAAGAUGGGCUUUGAGUCCAAUAUCAAAGUCUUUUAUUUUUAAGACUGUGAUACAUAGUGAGCUUCACUGCCUUCUGAAACCUCCAGGCCAGGGAAUGUAUCUAUAAUGAAGCAAGAGCACUGUUGCCUUUACCAGCUAGCACUUGGUCACUUUAGAAUGUCAUUUUGGCUUUCUUUUCUAUCAGGUAAGAGACAUACCACCCCAACUUUCUGUCUGAAUACCGAGAAAUUCAACAGCCUUCAUAGUGGUCUGUGAUGCCCCAAAGGAUCAUGGCUGCAGCUUGACUCUGCCUGCUCUUUUAAAGUCUGUGAAGCAGGGGAGAGAGGCUCAAGCCAGAGUGGAACUGCACAGCAAGAAGCCAGGCAGCUUCACACGCUGAGCCACCAAGCAAGUCAGUGAAUCCUGCCCUACUUUCACUUCGCUUCCUGCACUGUGUGGAAGUCUGAGCCUCUCCUCACAGGCAUAGAAAGGAAGCAAUCCCCUCUGCACAUCUCCUAAGACGGCCUUUAGUUAUAAAGAAGAAUUAAUUUUUACACAGGAAAUGGACAUUAAGCUGGUAAGCUCCCAGAUACCAUUCUUCCAAGUAAAGAUGCUUCUCAUUAAACUUGAUUCCUGUGUCCCCAACACUGAUCCUCCAUUAUUACCUAGGCUUGUUCUAAAGUUUAUUCCUGUGUCCCCCAACACUAAUCUUUCAUUAUUACCUGGGAUCGUUGACCUAGAAUAAGCUACCAAAUUAAUGAGACAUCAGUGGAGAUAAUCAGAUUAACCUGGAAAACCCUUAAGCAUCCACUAUGCUCCUAGGAACUAGAGUUACCCAAUUUGUAGAUCGGCCUUGCUGGGGAACAGCCCUUUCUGUGUGUUAUAGGAGAUGCUGACUAACCUGUUAAUCCAAAUGACCCAUGACAACGCAGUUAAGUAGGAGGAUGUUGUUUUCUGAGAGUAUGGUCCCUGCUUCUCUAAGCCCAGAGAGCACGAACAGCAGGAACAGGC